AAUAUUGGACAAUGGGGGCAACCCUGAUCCAGCCAUCCCGCGUGUAUGAUGAAUGCCUACGGGUUAUAAAGUACUUUUGGCAGAGAAGAAAAGGUACCUCCUAAUACGAGAUACUGUGUACGGUAUCUGCAGAAUAAGCUCCGGCUAACUACUUGCCAGCAGCCGCGGUAAUACGUAGGGUGCAAGCGUUAAUCGGAAUUACUGGCGUAAAGCGUGUGUAGGCGGUCCGGAAAGAAAGAUGUGAAAUCCCAGGGCUCAACCUUGGAACUGCAUUUUUAACUGCCGAGCUAGAGUAUGUCAGAGGGGGGUAGAAUUCCACGUGUAGCAGUGAAAUGCGUAGAUAUGUGGAGGAAUACCGAUGGCGAAGGCAGCCCCCUGGGAUAAUACUGACGCUCAGACACGAAAGCGUGGGGAGCAAAC
rnacentral:rRNA from 1 species